UGUAGUUGUGUUGAGAGAUGUGUUUUGAGAUCAAUCUCUUGCCAGACAACAUCCCAAUUUCACAGGUGGGGAGUUCCUGUUGUGGCGCAGUGGUUAACGAAUCCGACUAGGAACCAUGAGGUUGCGGGUUCGAUCCCUGCCCUUNGGCUUAGAUUCCGUGUUGCUGUGGCUCUGGCAUAGGCUGGUGGCUACAGCUCGAUUAGACCCCUAGCCUGGGAACCUCCAUAUGCCACGGGAGCGGCCCAAGAAAGGGCAAAAAGACAAAAAACAAAAAACAAACAAACAAACAAAAAAAACAAUUUCACAGGUGGCAUCCAAAUAAAUUUGUAAAUUAAAAUAGAUAUGGAAAAAUGCACUCUGUUGAUAAAUAAGUCAAUGAGAUAUAUAUAUAUAUAUAUAUAUAUAUAUAUUCCAACAGAGCAGCUAAAGAAUUAAUAAGGCAAUCAUAAAGUCUCCUGACACAAUAACUCUGGUGGCAGAGAGUUUUAUGUAUGAGCCUGGGGAUGUACAGCAGUGGCAUUAAUUCAAUUCCUGGACAAAGUAUCUGCAUGCCAGAAAUGGGUGCAGGAACAUAAGUAGGUAAAUAAAAAAUCAAUAAAAAUGUUAAUAUAUAAAUAAAUUCAUACACCCUAGGUAAUUACAUCUGCUCACAUAUCAUAUUGCUAAAAAUAUUCACAGUUCGAUGGAGUCAGUUUUCUUUUUUUUUUCUCAAGGGGCAGGAGUUUGGAACCAGACACCUUCUCUUGUGAAUGUGGUUGCAGAAAUACCUGGCUUGAGACUCUUUUCCAGAAUUGGCAAGGAGUGAAGCUUGACUUCAGGAACACUUGGCUUCUGGUUGUGCAAGAUAUCUGCACAACUUUCAUCUUCCCUCUGCACCUGGCCGAGUUGCUUCAGCCUCUACAAGACACAUAUUUGAAGGAAGUUCUCUCAAUCCUGGUAAGGUGAGUCACAGCUGGGUUGUUUAGGACUCCAGGCAGAAUCCCAGGGAGGAAGGAUGACAAUUGGAAACCUGCUGCCCUGACAUAAAUAGCAGGGUUGUUUAUUUCAGGGAGUGAGCUGAAGUAAUGUGGGUUGAGUGGCUUGGCAAACUGUGAGAGUGUCAUGCCCUGUGUAUCAUGCCUUUGAGUGUGCUGAGUGGGAGCAGAGUAAAUAAAUCUCACCUGUGAGGCA
rnacentral:lncRNA from 1 species